rnacentral:tRNA from 1 species
UAGACAUUGGCCAAGUGGUUAAGGUUAUGGAUUGCUAAUCCAUUGUCCUCUGCAGGCCUGGGUUUGAAUCCCAUCCCUAU